UACGUAGGGUGCGAGCGUUAAUCGGAAUUACUGGGCGUAAAGCGUGCGCAGGCGGUUCGUUGUGUCUGCUGUGAAAGCCCCGGGCUCAACCUGGGAAUGGCAGUGGAAACUGGCGAGCUGGAGUGUGGCAGAGGGGGGUGGAAUUCCUGGUGUAGCGGUGAAAUGCGCAGAUAUCAGGAGGAACACCUAUUGCGAAGGCAGCUCGCUGGGACGUAACUGACGCUGAGACGCGAAAGCGUGGGGAGCAAACAGG
rnacentral:rRNA from 1 species